rnacentral:misc_RNA from 1 species
CUCGACGCCGUCGGUCUCGAGCAGCGCGCCGGACGCCGCCACCCCUCCGGGCCUCACCACGGCCACCUUGGCGAAGCCCUUCGCACCGACGUACUUCCCCGUGCCGCCGACGACGGCGAGGUGCGACUCCGAGUCCGCGGUGCGGUGCACGCCGAAGAAGCUGAUGGUGUCGUCGAACCCGCCUUCCUUGAACAUGGCGGUCACAGCCACGGUCUGGCUGACGCCCUCCUCCGAGCUGGCGAUGUAGAAGCCCUGCGCGCGGCCCACCGCGGCGGACCCCAGCUCCGGUGCCUCCGUCAGCUCGUCGUCCACCACGGUCAUGGUCCCGAAGAGGAGCUUCUGCAGCGUGGUGCCCUGCGGGAGGCUGCCUCCGGCGAAGACCGGCACGCCGUUCCCGUUCCCGUUCCCGUUGCCGUUGCUGCCGACGGACUUGGCGGCGUUGGUGGCGCCGCCCAGGCCCGUGAGGAAGGGAAUGUUGUUGUUGUCGAUGGCGCCCGCCGCGCCGGAGUUGACGUUCACGCCGCUGUUGAGCGGCAGCACGGCGCCGUUGGGCCGCGCGAAGGGCAGCUGCCCGGUGACCGCGGCGUUGUCCACGAUGCCGGCCACGAUGCGCGCCGACGGGUUCGUGCCCCCGAGGAUGUCGUGCAUGAAGAAGACCAUCCCGUGGCCGUCAGCGCCGCUCGCUGCACCCGCUCCCGCGGCCCCGGCCCCGGCCCCCACAGGGAUGGUGCUGGCUGCGACCGGAGCUGCCGCAGCAGCAGCGGGGAUGGCAUUGGCAGCGACCGGUGCGUCUGCUGCCACGGCGCCUCCGGGCGCCGCCACCACACCGGCGCCUCCUACCACAGGUGGACUGGCAUCGGCAGUGACCGGUGCGUCAGCAGCAGGGUGCGCUAUGGCCGGUGCGGCAGCGGGCGCCGCAGCACCAGUGCCGUCGUCGUCGUCGUCGGAAGUCAGCUGACGCGUCGGUCUCGCCGCGGUAGCGCUGGGCGCGACGAGGAGGAGGACGAGGAUGAGGAGAAGGGAAGAGAGUCCGAUGGCCGCUUUCUUGAACGCCAUUCGAGCAGGCAAGGCUCUCUCUCUGUUUCUAGCUCGCCCCGCUGGUGGUGAUGCACUGAUACUGCAACUGUUUGUGCUCUGACUGAGCUG